AGGACGAACGCUGGCGGCAUGCCUAACACAUGCAAGUCGAACGGGGGUAGCAAUACCCUAGUGGCGAACGGGUGAGUAACACAUAAGCAAUCUGCCCUUCGACAGGGGGAUAACAGCGGGAAACUGCUGCUAAUACCGCAUAAGACCACAGUACCGCAUGGUACAGGGGUAAAAACGAAUCAGUGGUGAAGGAUGAGCUUAUGUCCCAUUAGCUAGUUGGUGAGAUAACAGCCCACCAAGGCGACGAUGGGUAGCCGACCUGAGAGGGUGAUCGGCCACACUGGAACUGAGACACGGUCCAGACUCCUACGGGAGGCAGCAGUGGGGAAUAUUGGGCAACGGAGGAAAAACCUCUUACCCAGCAAUGCCGCGUGAGUGAAGAAGGUCUUCGGAUUGUAAAGCUCUUUGAUUGGGGACGAAGAAAGUGACGGUACCCAAGGAACAAGCCCCGGCUAACUACGUGCCAGCAGCCGC
rnacentral:rRNA from 1 species